ACCGGGCUGGGCAGUGCCCACUGCCCCUGCAACACAGUCUGUAGUGCCCAGCCCACCUUUCACAGAGAGUGCAGUGCCCACUGCACCUUUAUUGGGUGUGUAAUGUCCACUGCACCUUUAUAGGGUGUGUAGUGCCCACUGCACCUUUAUAGGGUGUGUAGUGACCACUGCACCUUUAUAGGGUGUGUAGUGACCAAUCCAUCUUUCACAGGGAGUGUAGUGCCCACUCCAUCUUCUGUAGGGUGUGUAAUGCCCACUCCAUCUUCUGUAGGGUGUGUAAUGCCCACUGCACCUUUUACAGGGUGUGUAAUGCCCCCUCCAUCUUCUCUAGUGUGUACUGCUCAUUUUAUCUUCACCAGAGUGUGAACACAGCAGCAUGUAAAGCUUGCUCCAUCCUUACCAGGCUGUGUAAUACUCACUCCACCUCUACCAGGCUGUGUAAUGCCCACUCCAUCUUUACCAGUCUGUAUAAGGCUCACUCCACCUUCACCUUUAAAAAUCUCAGGUGCUUCUUUUAAUAAAUGCAAAAGCAACAGCUGUUUGAAGCAUGAGAAUGGAUUCACCUGCAGCUCCUGAGGCAGGCUGUCCUUAAGUGGUUGAUAAGGAUGUUUAUCUACAAUUUACCUCAGCAGAUUUUUUAUGGAAAAUUUUUAUGGAACUAUUCAAAAGUUAUCUAAUGUACGAGUAGUUCCUGUAAAAACUCAGGUGCUUUCUGAUGAACUCCAUCUGUUGUUUUGCUGUGGAAGCACCCAGAAUGCAUUAAACAUUUUACACAUCUACUGAAAAAAAAAAUCUCCUUUUCAAUGUUUUUUUCCAUAAGAAUCUCUUAAUCACAAGGAUAUCUUGUCAUGGCACAAAAAUAACUUUAGAAGGACUGUUACUUUUCUGCAUUCUUAAAAGACAACCUGGGAGGAAAAUUACCCACUCAGAAUAGAUAAAGUUCUCUUUCCCUGAUAGAGAAGUUUUCUGGACCUUGGUUUAAUGUUAGCUAUUCACGUGGUUUAUGCUCUUAAAUACAGUUUUAAGAGCCUCAGAAAUUUUUAGAAGAAGUUACAGUGAUUCAGUGUUCUGUUUGGAUUACACAGGUUCAGUAAUUAGUAAUCACAUGACUAAAUAAAAUGAUGAUAUUCUGGGGAGCUGGGACAUUGUCCUUGACAUACCAGAGUUCAAUGUUUUAUGGUGGCACUGCAUGUUAAUGGUGUGGGAUUAGAGAAAACUGCUUUUAAAGUGCUUUAAAAUUCACAGACUGGUUAUCAGAAAGAUGCCUGGAAAACUCUUAAUUUCAUGGAAGUGCUUUUGAAUGCUCUUGGACAACUGAGAGCAGGACUCUAAACUAUCAGACAGCAAGCCCAGUUGUCUCCAUGCUGCUGCCAAAACCUCCAGCUCUUCUUUUCCUUCAUUUUCUCCAUUGUAUUUAUAUCCAAACAUGCAGUAGAUAGGAGUUAUGCAGAUUAAACUACAUUUUUGAAGUGUUAAUAAACAAAGGUUAUGAAUCCUGCAUAUUAAACUCAAAUAGUCCAUAUUUUGGCUUGGUGUGUUACAGAAGUUGGGUUCUGACAGUUGCACACACUCUUUUCAUGUUGGUUCUCCAGUUCCUCCAGUAUCUCCUGAUUCUCUUGGUGAAUUUACAUCAGGGGUGUGGUACAAUUAAAUAUUUCAGGUUCUUGAAAAUAGGUGAGCAGGUAAGAGACCACUGAGGGAAAUCUACAUGUGUGUAUCCUUUAGAAAAAGUGAUGUUCACUUAAGUGGCUUUCCAGUCAUUCCUCUGAAAAAUAAAUUACCUCAUUAUGAAGUUGUCAGCAUGUAUUUGAUAAAACAACAUGAGGAAAUUAGAAUUCAGCUGUUUGAAUUUAUCUGGUUAGUAAAGGAAAAGUUUAUAGAGUAUUAGAACACAAAAAUUAUGUUAUGUCCUUUGCUGCUUACUGCUUGUCCUUCACUCUGCUUUGUCUCUUAAUUUGGUAAAUGGUAAAUAUCAAACAAGGGAGAUUUCAAGUUUUAAGUAAAACUUCCAAGGGCAUCAGCAAAUUGUGCAGGGAAGUACUUUAUGUGCAUUUGGUAAGUAUUUAGGAUAUCAAGGAAUUUGUUGGGGUUUUGUUGUUUGCUGUGUUUUUAUUUUUUAAAUCCAACCAUAACCCUUCCCUGUCUCUCCCAGGUUAUAAAAUUGUACUUAAUGGCAUUGUGCUUUCAAAUUUGUCAUAAAAGUGUAAUGAAUCUGGUGAUCAAUAGCAAACUGUUGCAUUCUUUCAGUACAGAAGAAGUAAUUUAAUAGCUGAGGUUUACAAA